GGGCCCGUAGCUCAGCUGGUAGAGCGCCUCCGUGGCACGGAGGAGGUCGUCGGUUCGAGACCGAUCGGGUCCACAA
rnacentral:tRNA from 1 species